GACGAACGCUGGCGGCGUGCUUAACACAUGCAAGUCGAACGGAAAGGCCCUGCUUUUGUGGGGUGCUCGAGUGGCGAACGGGUGAGUAAAACGUGAGUAACAUGCACUUGACUUUGGGAUAACUUCAGGAAACUGGGGCUAAUACCGGAUAGGAGCUCCUGCUGCAUGGUGGGGGUUGGAAAGUUUCGGCGGUUGGGGAUGGACUCGCGGCUUAUCAGCUUGUUGGUGGGGUAGUGGCUUACCAAGGCUUUGACGGGUAGCCGGCCUGAGAGGGUGACCGGCCACAUUGGGACUGAGAUACGGCCCAGACUCCUACGGGAGGCAGCAGUGGGGAAUAUUGCACAAUGGGCGGAAGCCGGAUGCAGCAACGCCGCGUGCGGGAUGACGCCCUUCGGGGUGUAAACCGCUUUCGCCUGUGACGAAGCGUGAGUGACGGUAAUGGGUAAAGAAGCACCGGCUAACUACGUG
rnacentral:rRNA from 1 species